rnacentral:rRNA from 1 species
UGGGGAAUAUUGGACAAUGGGGGCAACCCUGAUCCAGCUAUGCCGCGUGUGUGAAGAAGGCCUUUUGGUUGUAAAGCACUUUAAGCAGUGAAGAAGACUCCAUGGUUAAUACCCAUGGACGAUGACAUUAGCUGCAGAAUAAGCACCGGCUAACUCUGUGCCAGCAGCCGCGGUAAUACAGAGGGUGCAAGCGUUAAUCGGAAUUACUGGGCGUAAAGCGAGCGUAGGUGGCUUGAUAAGUCAGAUGUGAAAGCCCCGGGCUUAACCUGGGAACGGCAUCUGAUACUGUUAGGCUAGAGUAGGUGAGAGGAAGGUAGAAUUCCAGGUGUAGCGGUGAAAUGCGUAGAGAUCUGGAGGAAUACCGAUGGCGAAGGCAGCCUUCUGGCAUCAUACUGACACUGAGGUUCGAAAGCGUGGGUAGCAAACA